rnacentral:tRNA from 1 species
GGAGGGGUGUCCGAAGUGGUAAGGAGCCCGGCUGCUAACCGGGUAGUCCAGGAAACUGGGCCUGCGGGUUCGAGCCCCGCCCCCUCCGCCA